CCUACGGGAGGCAGCAGUAGGGAAUCUUCCACAAUGGACGAAAGUCUGAUGGAGCAACGCCGCGUGAGUGAAGAAGGGUUUCGGCUCGUAAAGCUCUGUUGGUAGUGAAGAAAGAUAGAGGUAGUAACUGGCCUUUAUUUGACGGUAAUUACUUAGAAAGUCACGGCUAACUACGUGCCAGAAGCCGCGGUAAUACGUAGGUGGCAAGCGUUGUCCGGAUUUGUUGGGCGUAAAGCGAGUGCAGGCGGUUCAAUAAGUCUGAUGUGAAAGCCUUCGGCUCAACCGGAGAAUUGCAUCAGAAACUGGUGAACUUGAGUGCAGAAGAGGAGAGUGGAACUCCAUGUGUAGCGGUGGAAUGCGUAGAUAUAUGGAAGAACACCAGUGGCGAAGGCGGCUUUCUGGUCUACAACUGACGCUGAGGCUCGAAAGCAUGGGUAGCGAACAGGAUUAGAUACCCGAGUAGUC
rnacentral:rRNA from 1 species